CCGGAAUCGGGUGUCUUAAACUGUCUUUUCGUACAACUUGUUUGCCCCUAUCUGCCGGAGGAGUGAUGUACGGUUAGCUAGCGUGUGAUGCGUCUGUCAGCGCUAUCACUGUGAUAUCUCCGCCGCGUUACUAGCUAGACCUGUGACAGAGCGAAGGGCUACAUAGGUAGGGCUAGGUCUGUGACAGAUCGAAGGGCUACAUAGAUACAGCUAGACCUGAGACAGAGCGAAGGGCUACAUAGGUAGGGCUAGGCCUUUGACAGAGCAAGGGCUACAUAAGUAGAGCUAGAUCUGUGACAGAGCAAGGGCUAUAUAGGUAGAGCUAUACCUGUGACAGAGCAAGGGCUACAUAUGUAGGGCUAGGCCUGUGACAGAGCAAGGGCUACAUAGGUAGUGUAAGGUAGGGGCCUCAGACAUGCAUGCACCACGCAUCAUUGCUUAAUACGUUUCUUUGUGAUUACUCUCCUGUAAAAACAGACGACCAGUUUACAUACACACAUAUAUGUGUGUAUGUGUUAUAUUAUUUUGUAUAAUUAUAAUUGUGGAGCGAAAAUGCUGUUAUGUUAUUUGAUGGAAAGGAGUAGCACGCCCGCUCCACACCACUAGCCGUAUAGUGGCGAUCUAGAUCCUAGAUUGCAGCUUCUAUGAGCCAAACUAUUAACCAAGAUGGAGACGCACAGAUAGAUACCUGGGGUCCGUUGUCAGAUACAAUAAGUCUUAACAUUAGUCUUGACAUUACCUUUUCUCGUAGACUGUUCCUUUAUACAGUGUGUAUGAGAAACUCGUUAGUUUACCGCAUCUAUAUGACAAAGUUUUAAUGUUAAGACUAAUGUUAAGACAUUUAUUUUGUUUCUGACAACGCGUCCCUGCCUCAUUGUUUAGUUACUAUCUGUGUCUAUAAGUGUCGCUACGGGUCGUCUGGUGAUAACAGAUGGUUCUUCUCCUGGGACAUGGCACUCUCAAAACUCGUUUGCAUUUGUCACAGCUCGCUGCUGUUGUUAGAAUACAAUGGAGGUAAACAGUAUAAAAAGAGAUCAGGCUGGUAUUGGGUUGUAUCGUCACUAUCAGCUGUGGGACAAAUAAUCAAAUAAUAAUAAUAAUGCUUGUUCGCGUCAUUGUUGUGGUAGACAUGUAUGUAGACUCGCGAAUGCUUUCAUAAAGAGGUUUGUAAAAAGGUCAAGAGUAUGCGCUAUGUAAUCAAGAUAAUUCGCCAUGAAAAGGCGAGCUGUGUUUAGGCUAGGGAACACAUCGUGGAUAUAACACAUACAUUGCACGCAAGAUGUAUGUAUUUCGGUUUUAUGUGUCACGCGUCAGACAAUGCAGUUCGGUUGUUAGUUUUGUUUUGGUUUCUUAUGCAAUUAAACGUUUGUCAAUUUUAUUUA